UCAGGUCUUAGUGGAGGUGAAGUGCCAUAUUUCCUGCAUAAGUAACCCAGCCCUCAGGUCCUCCAACACACAGAUAGAGUAGCCUCCUUUCAUUGGCCGCCCGCAUCUUUAAAACUGGUGAGAGCUGGGUUUUUAAGGAAGUGUGGCAUUCUGUGAGGAAGAGAUGAGAAGAGAACACAUUUCAGGUCUGUUGUUGUGGUCCUGACAGAAGCAAGGCUGGUGUCUAAUCCAGUACAAGGAAGUGGUCUCCUUGGCAACCAUAGCCACAGG